AGAGACAAAAUGGCGUGGGAUUCGCCAUUGAGAAGCGUUGAUCUAGCAUAAGACGAUCCCACAGAAGCGAUUGUUGGCUAGAGUCAGGUUCCACUAAAUCGUAAGUCUAAAUCCUUGGAGCUGGUGGUCGUAGGCGUCCUCUUCCACUAUAACUGGCUUAUUCGGUUUGGGAAGGAUCAUCUAAAAGUCGAGGAUUGAAC
rnacentral:lncRNA from 1 species